GACGCAGUGGCGAAAGUGGUAAACGCGGGCGAUUUGGGAUCGCCUGACGGUCUUCCGUCAUGCAGGUUCGAUUCCUGUCUGCGCCACCA
rnacentral:tRNA from 1 species